AUUUCGCUUGUCCUGCUGUCACAUCUGGGGGCUGUCGACUGAUUUAUGUCGCUCCUUAUUCAACGGUGCUUCAACUGCCGAGUUAGCCGUCUAACUCAACCGUAGCCGCCGCCACAAUACGCACGAGCUACUUUAUGUUCAUUUAAAGUUUGUUUUAUGAACUACCCUGGGCGUCAUAUUUAUUUAUAUGCCUCAACCGGCAAAACCGACAAAAGUUGCGUGUCAACUUGCUGUGAACACAAAGUAUACAUUUGUUUAUUAUACACAUUUGCAGUGAUGAUAACUAUCAACAAAUCAAGAUCUAGUUAUGACGGAACCAUUCUUGCGGAAUGAACCUCAAAUUAAACUCCUGUCCUUAUUUUCAAUGGCCGACGUAACAAGAUAGCGACUUGAAGCGCUCGAACUCGACGCUCAACUCAAUUCUGCUGCGUGAUUAUGCGCUGAAGCUUCGUGAGUUUUGUAAGACGAACGCGAUUGGAAUUCAUGUUACGCGUAGUUAUUAACUGAAUGGCGAAGUGGAUGAACUAUUUCUAAAGUUACAUGGUUACCUACUUAUUAUAGUUAUUAUCUUGGUUUGCAAUUAGUUCAAGUUGGAACAACUUUUGUGCUGACUUUGUAUAUAGUUCUUAAUUUAUACGAACACAACUUACUGAAAAGUUAUUUAGGUUUUGGAUUAUCCUCUCGUUUUAAUUAAACUAGGGUCUCAUUAAUUGAAGAUUGUUUGUGUACAUUAUUCUUCACUCAAUAUUUUAAAGGAUGACAAAGUUUUCGGAUACAUUUUGUAUGGAAUAAUAUAAAAUAAAAUGGCAAAUGAAAUAAAGUCAAAAUAAAAACAAAAA